AACAAGAGUUGAGGUGCGGUACUCAUCAGUACCUGCAAGACAAGGGGGCAGACCCUGCGAGUUGAACUUGCAGUGAAAGGGUGUACCGCCGAAGCCUGCUUUAAUCUGCGGCAAUGCAGGCUGGGUUUAGAGAUAAUAUCUCUGGGACUGUCACGUUUUUUCGUGGAGCACUCUCUUGGA
rnacentral:ncRNA from 2 species